UAGGGAAUAUUCGGCAAUGGACGAAAGUCUGACCGAGCAACGCCGCGUGAGUGAAGAAGGUUUUCGGAUCGUAAAACUCUGUUGUUAGAGAAGAACAAGGACGUUAGUAACUGAACGUCCCCUGACGGUAUCUAACCAGAAAGCAACGGCUAACUACGUGCCAGCAGCCGCGGUAAUACGUAGGUGGCAAGCGUUGUCCGGAUUUAUUGGGCGUAAAGCGAGCGCAGGCGGUUUCUUAAGUCUGAUGUGAAAGCCCCCGGCUCAACCGGGGAGGGUCAUUGGAAACUGGGAGACUUGAGUGCGGAAGAGGAGAGUGGAAUUCCAUGUGUAGCGGUGAAAUGCGUAGAUAUAUGGAGGAACACCAGUGGCGAAGGCGGCUCUCUGGUCUGUCACUGACGCUGAGGCUCGAAAGCGUGGGGAGCAAACAGG
rnacentral:rRNA from 1 species